AGUGAACGCUGGCGGUAGGCCUAACACAUGCAAGUCGAACGGCAGCACAGUAAGAGCUUGCUCUUACGGGUGGCGAGUGGCGGACGGGUGAGGAAUACAUCGGAAUCUACUUUUUCGUGGGGGAUAACGUAGGGAAACUUACGCUAAUACCGCAUACGACCUACGGGUGAAAGCAGGGGAUCUUCGGACCUUGCGCGAUUGAAUGAGCCGAUGUCGGAUUAGCUAGUUGGCGGGGUAAAGGCCCACCAAGGCGACGAUCCGUAGCUGGUCUGAGAGGAUGAUCGCCGGCACUGGAACUGAGACGCGGUCCAGACUCCUGCGGGAGGCAGCAGUGGGGAAUAUUGGGCAAUGGGCGCAAGCCUGAUCCAGCCAUACCGCGUGGGUGAAGAAGGCCUUCGGGUUGUAAAGCCCUUUUGUUGGGAAAGAAAAGCAGCAGGUUAAUACGCCGCUGUUCUGACGGUACCCAAAGAAUAAGCACCGGCUAACUUCGUG
rnacentral:rRNA from 1 species